rnacentral:lncRNA from 1 species
AAGCUGUGAGGUUCAGAAAAUUCACGUGACCCAAGGAAGGCCAGAAGCGAACCAAAGCAUGUCCAGCUGUCUAUAAGAGAUGAUUAAUGACUAGCAAAGUAAAUGAUUGAUUAGUGAUUGUAUUAGGGUGGACUUGGGUCGAUUAAGGUGUA